rnacentral:rRNA from 1 species
GGGUUGUGAGGUUAAGCGACUAAGCGUACACGGUGGAUGCCCUGGCAGUCAGAGGCGAUGAAGGGCGUGCUAAUCUGCGAUAAGCGCCGGUAAGGUGAUAUGAACCGUUAUAACCGGCGAUACCCGAAUGGGGAAACCCAGUGUGACUCGUCACACUAUCAUUAACUGAAUCCAUAGGUUAAUGAGGCGAACCGGGGGAACUGAAACAUCUAAGUACCCCGAGGAAAAGAAAUCAACCGAGAUUCCCCCAGUAGCGGCGAGCGAACGGGGAGGAGCCCAGAGCCUGAAUCAGCAUGUGUGUUAGUGGAAGCGUCUGGAAAGGCGCGCGAUACAGGGUGACAGCCCCGUACACAAAAGCGCAUGUGCUGUGAGCUCGAUGAGUAGGGCGGGACACGUGGUAUCCUGUCUGAAUAUGGGGGGACCAUCCUCCAAGGCUAAAUACUCCUGACUGACCGAUAGUGAACCAGUACCGUGAGGGAAAGGCGAAAAGAACCCCGGCGAGGGGAGUGAAAAAGAACCUGAAACCGUGUACGUACAAGCAGUGGGAGCACAGGUUUACCUGUGUGACUGCGUACCUUUUGUAUAAUGGGUCAGCGACUUAUAUUCUGUAGCAAGGUUAACCGAAUAGGGGAGCCGGAGGGAAACCGAGUCUUAACCGGGCGUUAAGUUGCAGGGUAUAGACCCGAAACCCGGUGAUCUAGCCAUGGGCAGGUUGAAGGUUGGGUAACACUAACUGGAGGACCGAACCGACUAAUGUUGAAAAAUUAGCGGAUGACCUGUGGCUGGGGGUGAAAGGCCAAUCAAACCGGGAGAUAGCUGGUUCUCCCCGAAAGCUAUUUAGGUAGCGCCUCGUGAACUCAUCUCCGGGGGUAGAGCACUGUUUCGGCUAGGGGGCCAUCCCGGCUUACCAACCCGAUGCAAACUGCGAAUACCGGAGAAUGUUAUCACGGGAGACACACGGCGGGUGCUAACGUCCGUCGUGAAGAGGGAAACAACCCAGACCGCCAGCUAAGGUCCCAAAGUCAUGGUUAAGUGGGAAACGAUGUGGGAAGGCCCAGACAGCCAGGAUGUUGGCUUAGAAGCAGCCAUCAUUUAAAGAAAGCGUAAUAGCUCACUGGUCGAGUCGGCCUGCGCGGAAGAUGUAACGGGGCUAAACCAUGCACCGAAGCUGCGGCAGCG